CCUAUAACAUAUCUUUAAUGCACUAAAUCCCAUUAUAACUCUGUAGUUAAGCACACUCAGGAUAGAGUAGUAUUGGGAUGGGCGACCACCUGGUAAGUCCUAGUGUUUUACAUGC
rfam:Picea glauca, whole genome shotgun sequence.